rnacentral:rRNA from 1 species
UACGGAGGAUCCAAGCGUUAUCCGGAUUUAUUGGGUUUAAAGGGUGCGUAGGCGGAAUGAUAAGUCAGUGGUGAAAGCCUGCAGCUUAACUGCAGAACUGCCAUUGAUACUGUCAAUCUUGAGUACAUUUGAUGUGGGCGGAAUGUGUCAUGUAGCGGUGAAAUGCGUAGAUAUGCGGAGGAACACCGAUGGCGAAGGCAAUCCCCUGGGCCUGCACUGACGCUCAUGCACGAAAGCGUGGGGAGCAAACAGG